rnacentral:rRNA from 1 species
AUUGAACGCUGGCGGCAGGCCUAACACAUGCAAGUCGAGCGGAUGACGGGAGCUUGCUCCUUGAUUCAGCGGCGGACGGGUGAGUAAUGCCUAGGAAUCUGCCUGGUAGUGGGGGACAACGUUUCGAAAGGAACGCUAAUACCGCAUACGUCCUACGGGAGAAAGCAGGGGACCUUCGGGCCUUGCGCUAUCAGAUGAGCCUAGGUCGGAUUAGCUAGUAGGUGAGGUAAUGGCUCACCUAGGCGACGAUCCGUAACUGGUCUGAGAGGAUGAUCAGUCACACUGGAACUGAGACACGGUCCAGACUACUACGGGAGGCAGCAGUGGGGAAUAUUGGACAAUGGGCGAAAGCCUGAUCAAGCCAUGCCGCGUGUGUGAAGAAGGUCUUCGGAUUGUAAAGCACUUUAAGUUGGGAGGAAGGGCAGUAAGUUAAUACCUUGCUGUUUUGACGUUACCGACAGAAUAAGCACCGGCUAACUUCGUGCCAGCCGCCGCUGUAAUAC